UAAAUGAUGAAAAAUUAUUACUUGCUUCAAAGAAAAGAAUUCAAAACUUUAAAUUGCCAAAAUUCUAUAACACAUGAAAUUACAUCUCAAUUUAAACGAAAAUUCUACAACACUGCCAUGAAUUAAUAAAGCUCGAAUCUAAGGGGAAUUAUAAAUUACAUGCCUUGAUAAAUUGAAACUAACUGAUGAUGCAAUAACAAUGUCAACUGCUCAAUGACCAACUCAAGAUGUCAAUCUUUGGAUUUGAACCUGCACCAAAUGGAUUUCAAUCGGUUCCAAUGGUUAUUUAUUGACCUGGACAAAAGUAACCAUGGCAUUUAAUCAAAAAAAACAAGAAGCUAGCCUAAGACUUGAAAAAGGAGCUAAACAUGACAAAAAAAUCCCUUAUAAUUCAUAAAAAUGACCAAGAGACAAAAUCAAAUUCUUAACUAGAACAAUAGACAUAGCAUGACAAGAUCAUCAGCUCGCAGGCCUUCUUUCAACAACUUUUAAAAUUCUACCAUUGGCUUGUGGCCUGCCAAUCUAACCAACAAUGGUCAUAUCCGCAAAACUUUAACCAAAUUAUUAAUUAGUAGAUACUUUCCAUUUUUCAGAAUCUUAAAAAAAUCGACAUGCUCGAACCAACCUGUUUAUAGUCAAGAUUUUCCUACUAUGAAUUAAAACCAAAGGACAAUACUAAUAACAAUCAAACACAAUCAUGUUUCUAAAAGAAAGAGAAGAAGAAUAAAGCAUGAUAACAUGUUUCAAUCCAACUACUGAAUACUAAUAAACCAUUUCCAUUGUUUUCUUACUUCAACCACUACUCAAACUAAAAAAAUGAAUAGAACACAAUUAAAACAUAUUUGCAACUUUAAAUCAACUGAAAAUUCCAAAAUAAUGACAAGAAUGCACAAUCUAACUUCAUUCACACUCAAAUGUUUAAGGAAAUCAGAUUUUCAUUCAAAACAAAACUCUAACCAAGCAUAUAAUGUUCAGAAAAAAUACCUAGAAAAAAGGAAAAAUCAGCUUAAAGAAACAAGGAAAUUUUCAGUAGCUCAGCUCAACAAACAACAGCGAAUCAAACCUCAAAGCUUUGUUUCAAUCUCUGAAAAACUCCCAGCAAAACCCCAAAAAAUAGAAAGAAACUGAAAAACUUUCAUCUAAAUCUUUUGGAAAGAGCCGAUUUUCAACCAUUUGUGUUUUUCACCCUUUUUUUCGUGCCCUAAUGAUUGGAAAGAGGGUCUUUUAUAGAGGAAAUUUAGGGCAAUAAAAUCAGAUUUUCUUAAUUCAAAUACACCCUUUAAACUUUUACUUUAAAACACUUACACCCCUGCCCCAAAGAAUUUUUCCCCUCUUUUAUCUCUAAUAUGACCAUUGUCAGCUUCCUAGAAGCUUUCUAUAGACUUUCUUACACCUUAUCCAAUUUCAAAACCCCAGCAGCCCUGCUUUUUCGCCCUUUUUCUUUUUUUUUUCAUUGUUCUAUCGGUUUAAAACCAAUGGUACUGGACUUGGGCCAUUCUAUCUUUAGGCCCAGUAAUUCUUGGGCUUUCGCACCGAAGUUCCAAAACCAAAAACCAAACAACCUUAAAUAUAACUUAGAACAACAUUCAAUUAACCAAAACCUAACUGAGGCAUCUUUUAAGAAAAUAAUUAAAACUAAUUAACGAGCUAUUAAUCAUCGAUUAAUUCAUUAUGCCCUAAAAUAACUCUAAUUACUCUUAGACAUAAAAGAAAAAUAAAAAGAUUCCAGUAGAUGAAUGUGAAGGAAAAUGGGGAAGAAUUAUACCAAUGGAAUCAAAAGCUUCAACAAACUAGAAGAAGUAGUAAAGGAUCCACUUGAGACUUCGAUGAGCACAAAACUCGGCCAAAUGGUAGGCAUAGUAACAUGAAUAUUAGCCGGACUUUCAUCCAUGGCUAAUGAUUCAUGUAGCAAUCCUCACCAUGUACCAAGAAGAAAAAGAGGCUUGAAAAAAUUGGAGCGUUCAAAGCUAUUUGCCCGAAAUCUGGCCAACUCUAUGGGAGAAGGCAUUCUUGACAUCAACGCACUCCCUUUGUUAAAAACUAGGGAAUUCACACGGGUUUUGCUAUGAAUUGAGGGCUAAGUCAAGAAAAAUCGAACAAAAAGUGAAAAGUUCUAAUUUUUAUUUCUUAGAUUUCAAAUUCGGAGAAACUAAUAGCGGGAGAUAGAUGAGGAGAUGAUGGAGAUUGUAUGGUUAAAAUUUAGAGGCGUUUGGAGGAGCUCCGCCGCCAUGAGACGAUUUUCGGGCGGCGAAGAUAUAGUGGAGGUGCGCGGCGAUUUCAAAGAGAAAAGGGGAUUAGGUUUAAGACCUUAAUCAGAUGAAUUAUGAAGCCCACAGGUGUGUUUAGUCGUUUAAUGGGGUGAAGAAGUUGAAACGGCGUAGUUUUGAAGUGCAACUACCUCGUUUUGGGUGAGGGGAGGUCGAACCAAGUAAUGCUUUU
rnacentral:lncRNA from 1 species